UUAUAUAGCUUCGCGCAGGUCUCGAGACGAAAGGAGCGGCCAUCGGGCCGCUCCCUUCCU
rnacentral:sRNA from 1 species